rnacentral:tRNA from 1 species
CGAUGGCGUGGCCGAGGCCGGCAUGGCGGCCGACCCCGACGCGUUCGGUGGCGUUAGGGUUCAGAACCUGUAGUCGCCGC